rnacentral:rRNA from 1 species
GAUGAACGCUAGCGGCAGGCUUAACACAUGCAAGUCGAGGGGUAUAGUUCUUCGGAGCUAGAGACCGGCGCACGGGUGCGUAACGCGUAUGCAAUCUACCUUUUACAGAGGGAUAGCCCAGAGAGAUUUGGAUUAAUACCUCAUAGUAUGUGAGAAUGGCAUCAUUUUCACAUUAAAGUCACAACGGCAAAAGAUGAGCAUGCGUCCCAUUAGCUUGUUGGUAAGGUAACGGCUUACCAAGGCAACGAUGGGUAGGGGUCCUGAGAGGGAGAUCCCCCACACUGGUACUGAGACACGGACCAGACUCCUACGGGAGGCAGCAGUGAGGAAUAUUGGACAAUGGGCGCAAGCCUGAUCCAGCCAUGCCGCGUGCAGGAUGACGGUCCUAUGGAUUGUAAACUGCUUUUGUACAGGAAGAAACACUGGUUCGUGAACCAGCUUGACGGUACUGUAAGAAUAAGGAUCGGCUAACUCCGUGCCAGCCGCCGCAGUAAUAC